CCUGGUUGAUCCUGCCAGUAGUCAUAUGCUUGUCUCAAAGAUUAAGCCAUGCAUGUCUAAGUGCAUGCCAAAUUAAGGUGAAACCGCGAAUGGCUCAUUAAAUCAGUUAUGGUUCCUUAGAUCGUACCCACAUUUACUUGGAUAACUGUGGUAAUUCUAGAGCUAAUACAUGCAAACCAGAGUUCCGACCAGAGAUGGAAGGAACGCUUUUAUUAGAUCAAAACCAAUCGGUGGCGGGCUUUGCUCGUCCACCGUUUACUUUGGUGACUCUGAAUAACUUUGUGCUGAUCGCACGGUCUCGUACCGGCGACGCAUCUUUCAAAUGUCUGCCUUAUCAACUGUCGAUGGUAGGUUCUGCGCCUACCAUGGUUGUAACGGGUAACGGGGAAUCAGGGUUCGAUUCCGGAGAGGGAGCCUGAGAAACGGCUACCACAUCCAAGGAAGGCAGCAGGCGCGCAAAUUACCCACUCCCGGCACGGGGAGGGAGUGACGAAAAAUAACGAUACGGGACUCAUCCGAGGCCCCGUAAUCGGAAUGAGUACACUUUAAAUCCUUUAACGAGGAUCAAUUGGAGGGCAAGUCUGGUGCCAGCAGCCGCGGUAAUUCCAGCUCCAAUAGCGUAUAUUAAAGUUGUUGCGGUUAAAAAGCUCGUAGUUGAAUCUGUGUCGCACGCUGUCGGUUCGCCGCUCGCGGUGUUUAACUGACAUGCUCGUGAGACGUCCUACCGGUGGGCUUAGCUCCUUCGGGGGCGGUCCAACUAAUAUCCCAUCGCGGUGCUCUUUAUUGAGUGUCGAGGUGGGCCGGUACGUUUACUUUGAACAAAUUAGAGUGCUUAAAGCAGGCUAUCAUUUGCCUGAAUAUUCUGUGCAUGGAAUAAUGGAAUAGGACCUCGGUUCUAUUUUGUUGGUUUUAAGAAACCCGAGGUAAUGAUUAAUAGGGACAGAUGGGGGCAUUCGUAUUGCGACGUUAGAGGUGAAAUUCUUGGAUCGUCGCAAGACGGACAGAAGCGAAAGCAUUUGCCAAAAAUGUUUUCAUUAAUCAAGAACGAAAGUUAGAGGUUCGAAGGCGAUCAGAUACCGCCCUAGUUCUAACCAUAAACGAUGCCAGCUAGCGAUCCGCCGAAGUUCCUCCGAUGACUCGGCGGGCAGCUUCCGGGAAACCAAAGCUUUUGGGUUCCGGGGGAAGUAUGGUUGCAAAGCUGAAACUUAAAGGAAUUGACGGAAGGGCACCACCAGGAGUGGAGCCUGCGGCUUAAUUUGACUCAACACGGGAAACCUCACCAGGCCCGGACACCGGAAGGAUUGACAGAUUGAGAGCUCUUUCUUGAUUCGGUGGGUGGUGGUGCAUGGCCGUUCUUAGUUGGUGGAGCGAUUUGUCUGGUUAAUUCCGAUAACGAACGAGACUCUAGCCUGCUAAAUAGGCGUACCUUAUGGUAUCUUGAAGGCCCCCGG
rnacentral:rRNA from 1 species